rnacentral:misc_RNA from 1 species
CCAAUAGCGUAUAUUAAAGUUGUUGCAGUUAAAAAGCUCGUAGUUGAAUUUCGGGGUCAGUAGGUUGGUCGUGCCACCGGUACGUACUGGUCUCACUGAUUCCUCCUUCCUGAUGAGCUGUAAUGCCAUUAAUUUGGUGUUGCAGGGAAUCUGGACUGUUACUUUGAAAAAAUUAGAGUGUUUAAAGCAGGCUAACGCUUGAAUACAUUAGCAUGGCAUAAUGAAAUAGGACGUUCGAUCCUAUUUUGUUGGUUUCUAGGAUUGACGUAAUGAUUAAUAGGGAUAGUUGGGGGCAUUAGUAUUCAAUUGUCAGAGGUGAAAUUCGUGGAUUUAUUGAAGACUAACUACUGCGAAAGCAUUUGCCAAGGAUGUUUUCAUUAAUCAAGAACGAAAGUUAGGGGAUCGAAGACGAUCAGAUACCGUCGUAGUCUUAACCAUAAACUAUGCCGACUAGGGAUCGGAUGAUGUUAAUUUUUUAAUGACUCAUUCGGCGCCUUACG